rnacentral:lncRNA from 1 species
UGGCGCUCUCAGAUUGGCUACUUGCAGACCUCCCGCCAAAAAACAACUGCGGAGGAUGUUUACGGUUCUGCCAACAAUUACUAGUUGGGUUCUAAGGAAAAAUCCGAACACGACUGAGGCCAAGAACUCUGAACCAUGACUUUGCAGGCGUAUAACGUAUGACUCCAUGCAAUGCGAGGCGAUGGAAAGAGACCAGGCAGUCAGAGGCCUCCUCGAGCCCUGGGGAUUCCGUGUCUGGUGGUGCUGGCUGUGCACCUGCCUGCACGUGGAGUUUCAAGUUAUUUGUUACAUUGUCCUGGCAACUGUGGAUACUUCCUGCCCAUCUACAGGGAUGUUCUAACCAAUGUUCUCUACCUUGGAGAGUUAAUACCAUUGGAGGCAUUCAUCAAACACACAGAAGCAAAGAGAAACAUGGGACCUGACCACCAAAAACUUGCUGUGAAAUGAGCGACAGUUGUAAGGGAAAAGUGCAAAUAAACUUUGUUAUCCAGACUCAAGAACGUGAGAGUCAUAUACAUUUUUGGGUAACACUUUGCUAAUGAAAUUCUUCCUGUUUGCUACCUGAUAUGUAGAAACCAAAUAGAUUAACAUAAUUGAUUCCUCUGUAGGCAAAUUUACGAUCUGAUCUCUUGCUGCAGCUCAAGAUCCAAACAGAUCAAGAUGGUGCCGUUGCAAGCAACAGGAAGGCAAAUGAGUGGGGUGUUGGGGGAAGAAAUGGCCAGCCUAGCAGACAGGAAGCCUAGGCCUCCGGAUCUCACAGCCCCAACACUCAGGCUGGGUGGAAAGGAAGACUUUCCGGCUAGUGGGCAGCCGCCAGUGUCCAGUCUCUCCAGAGACCUCUGCGUCUGCUGGAGGGCUGCUUCUCUGAUAUUCCCUG